CAAAGGCCCAAUACAUUAACCACAAGGGCCGCCCAUCCUCCUCCUCUAGCCAUCGCGGUCCACCUCCUGUCUCGCGCCGCCCGCCGCCGCCGUCGACGAGCUCAACCGCACCACCGCGUACGCAGAUCAUCCAGUGAUAUUUCCCCUCAAAGGAGAAGGAAGAGGAUGGAAAAGGCACUAUGCGUGCCGACAGAGGUGUUGGCUGGGAAGAGUCAGUUAGGCUUUUCUGACAGUACCAGUCUUCUCUUUGCCUUUUGCAUUGUUUGCUGUUACUGAUUCAAUCACCCUACUUUGAUUUCCUUUUGUAAUUUGCAUGCAUGUUUUCAGGCUGCAUAUUGUGUGCGUGGGCAUUCAGUAACUUGGCAGUUCUUAUCGUUAAUACAGACACAACCAAAUUUAGUAAGGAUACACUGCUAACAAACUAAUGGUCAUACAGUUGGUUUGCAAGCUAUUUACGCCCAUGAUGAAAUCAGCAUCAGGGAGCUCUUUACAGCUAUAUGCUUUUUCCCUCAAAUUAUUGCCGUAUAAGUUUUCUUUCAGAUACGUUGCACAUGAAUUUGUGUGAGUAGACACUAUGUUUGUUUCGUAAAUUGUGCUUGCAUGAUUGUAUGUUUUCUUCCUUUGGCUGCUAUCGCCCAUGGCUUACACAUGCGCGGUUACAAGUCGCAUUGUCCGGUGGCGCUUCAGUUGGAGAUGGCAUGCACAAAUUCUAUUCUAUCACAGCAUCUACCAAAAUAUGAUCUUUUAGUUCCUAAUUUUGUGAUCACUCAUACUGUGAUUAGCUUCUGGCCGUGUAGAAAGUGAGAGGAGAUAGACCUGUAAAUUGCGGGAAAAUACAUAAACUGAAGAGGAUUCAUGUGAAAAUAGGGCUAUUCCCUCUUGGAAUGCUAAUUGUCGAUUGCUUUCUCGGGAGUGGUGUUUUAGAACAUGGGUGCAUAUGCUCCCUAUAUUUUGAAAUGCAUCUUAUGUACAUUUUAAAUUUAAAAAAAAUUGAAACUAAAAAUUUGUACGUACAUCUUCACGUGCUACGCGCUCAUAAAGUCGUUUCAUAAAAAAUUGACUUAUCAUGUGAUGUGUGUAAAAAAGACAAAAUUCAGUGCUAAAAAUAAUGCUUUUCACAAGAUAAAGUUUCUCCUUUUUACAUAGACCACAAAAAUAUUGAUUUUUUCGUGAAACUUAGCGAAUGCACAUACAUUAUGGAGAUGUACAUGUAGAAUUUUUUAUCUAAAUUUUUUGACAUUUCGAAAUAUAUUUUUUGGUAGAGGGGGCAUACGCACCCGGGAGCCGAAUUGAAUUUCUGUUGCUUUCUCUUGCUACACAACGACCUCCUCAAUAACUCAAUCUGCAGAAUGUACCAUUAUACUUAUGUGGCUUUCAUACUUAGUGCCUUAGCUUUCCUCGCAAUCAAAUAGGAUUCAAUAUUAUUUUUUUUUGUCACAUAUUUUCUGCAAAAAAGAAGGUGAGCUAUAUUAGAUCACAAGGUGUCCAGUUACUUUCUUUUCUUUCCGCUAUUGAUUUUUUUUUAUUUUUUUACUCACGGGCUGCUGUGUCAGAUUAGAAGGUUUAAUUAGUUACUUAUUUUUUUUCUUUUUCCACUAUUAUUCAAUUUUUUGCUUACAAGCUGGCAUUAUUUAUUUGUUUUAGGCACAUCUCUCUCACAGUCUUCACUUCAGUACAAAAAAUAUCUGGCCUUGCUGAGGGUUAUUUUAUUUAGAGGAAUCUUGGUGCGUUUUGCGCGUGCUCUCGAAAAAAAGGAAACCACUAAAGGGUGAGCCAACUUCCUCCCUUCUGCAAUUACCAAUACAUUAGGCAAACGAUGUGUUGUCGUCGCGAAAGUCGCAGGAAGCUAUCGAUGCCGAAAAUGUAAUUCCCCUCUCCGGCCGGCAGCAUGCAGAGGACGGCCGGUGGUGCUGCCCAGGGCCGGGGCGGGUGUGGCGGCCAUGAUGGAGAUGGGCGGUGAGGGUUGAAGGUGGGUCUGGCCAAAAGCACGAAGCAUGAUGGCGCGACAAGCUCCGGGCAAAUGCCUUGUCCUCGGUGGCUGGCCGGCCGGCAGCUGGCCGAGGCCGGCGAUGGCGACGGCUUCGGGCGCCGCUUCCUUCUUGAAGGCAUCGCCGAGGUGAUGUUUUGCCAUCCUGUCUGGGAAAGCUCCGGGGAAAUACCUAGAUCCGCCGUGAUCGGUCGAUGGCGGCGCUCUUGUGUCGUCUUCCCUCUUGAGGGCAUCGAUUUGGAGCUGCUUAGGUCGGAGGGACCCGUGGAGGAUGGUUGGUGUUGGCGUUGUGGGCUGGGUGGCAACGAUGACAGUGGUGAGCGGAUCGGAGCUGCGGCAUGUCCUUCGUCACCCCUGCCGUGAUGGUGAAGUCGGAGCUGCGAGGCGACUUGUGGCAACGCUGCCACUUGAUUGGUCCUUGCGUCGUGCAAGGCGUGCAACUUUCUCCUAUGAAGGUCGCGGUUGAAGUCGGAGCUGCCUCCUCCUCGACGUGCUUGGGGGUUGACUGUUUGGCAUGGGAAGUUGGAUGGUGUUGGCGUCAUGGGUUGCGUCGCGACGAUGACAAUGGUGAGAGGAUCGGAGUUGCGGCAUGUCCUUCGUCACCCCUGCCGUGAUGGUGAAGUCGGAGCUGCGAGGCGACUUGUGGCAACGAUGCCACUUGAUUGGUGCUUGCGUCGGUGCAAGGCGUGCAACUUCUCCUGUGAAGGUCACGGUUGAAGUCGGAGCUGCCUCCUCCUCGACGUGCUUGGGGGUCGAUUGUUUGGCAUAGGCUCACUUGGGUUCCGAUGUCGUUUGCGGCGAGGGUCUUGAUGGCGGUUGUCUAAGGUGAAGUCGGAAUCGCUGUCUCGUGGAGGAGUGACGACGAUGACGCUUGUUGACAUCCUCAACGAUGGUUUUUCUCCUCGAUGACGUAUGUGCUUCAUGUGGGUAGCCAGGUUGACCGGGGUGCUAUGUGUGUGUUGUUGAUUUUCCCGAUUUUCUCCUAAAAAUUGGGCACUUUCUUCUUAAUUAAUAGAUUGGGGCAAAGCUUUUACCUCCGUUUCAAAAAAAAAAAAAUCUCAAAAAAUGAAUGAUCAACACCACAGGACCAACAGAGCCCAUCCUCCAGUCACUUUUUUACCCUCCCAUUUAAAAGCCUAUCAGUGUAACGCAUAUAUCUCCCCUCAUGUAUCACCCAUGUAUCUCCCCUCAUGUACCACCCUUUAUUGUACUUGUUCCUGCGUGUAACUUCGCCUCGCACUGUUGCACAGGAACCUUAUGCAAACAAACCAAUUCCUCUAUGAUAUAAACUAGGAAAUUUGCGGCGCGGCGCAUGCCGCGCCCUUGUUGUCUAUGGUGCGACGUACUUUUUUAAAAACGGUAUUUUUAGGUUUAAGAGUGUAGGAUUCUUUUUUAAAACUCGACCGCACCCUUGGUAUCAAGAUCGUUGGUUACAAUUUUGUAGAAAUAAUACAAUAUUUGGAUUGCUGAAGUAGCGCGAAAGUGCCAGUGAAAUAGGCGGCAGAUGGUGGAGUGCUUUUGUUUCUAGAUCAUUGGUUGAAAUAUUGUAGAAAUUAAAAAAUAUAUGGGUUGCUGAAGUACUGCAUGUGAAAUAGGCGGUGGAUGGUGAAGUUCUUUUGUUUUCGGUGUUGCUACGAACGGAAACGGUAUUAUUUUUCCGGUCGGAAGAGGCAACGGGUGAUGGAGUAGAUCUAUAUUUCUAAAGUUACUAUUGAAGAAGGUCAUCCAAUGUGAAAAUGUGAUGGAUGGUGGAGUAAGUAUAUUUUUUCGAUGUUACCGUAGAAGAACACAACAUUAUUUUCCUCAAAUAAAAGAGCGAAUAGAUGUUGGAUUUUAUUUUAAUCACCGUUGAAAAAUUAAGCACUACUAAUGAAAUAUCGGGGGGUAAUUACUGUCCACAACCACGAUUGAAAUUACAUAUCCAAGUAUUUUCUUUUCAAAUCUAGUUGUAGAUUUCCCACAAUUUUGUUUGAAAAAGAAACUCUUGUUCUCACUCUCUUUCCUGAUCCCUGCAUUCCUCUCACUUUUCAGUUCUUGCCCCAUUCUACAGCAGGUGCCACCUUCCGCACCAAAUUCCAGCUACGUCCGGCCGGUCCCAUUCUGGCACUCGCGGGCUUGAGCUAGGCUCCACGGUGCUUGUGGUUCUUGUGCUUCCGGUCCCAAGCAAACACCACGGUCGACGGUAAUUGGCAUGGUGUCACGCGGUGGCCGCUCCUCUUGUGUCAGGUCCAGAGCAUCUCCUCGGCGCCCUCCAUCGCAUCAACCAACUAAAGUGCAGGAAUGGUAGGUCCAGAAGCCACGGGGAUACAUAUCUUCUUCGAGUAGCCGCCCAGCAAGAGGGCAGCGACCCAUCAAGCGAUUGCCGGCCGUUCCGUGAAGGCACACAACUGUAGGUAUGUGAUAGGCCAUCCAUGAUACAUGGUCAUCGCCGUGCCUCAUGGUAUCACCAGUUAUGCAAACAUCCUGCACCAUAUGCAUGGAAACGUUAAUUGGCAACGUUGCCUGGUAAAUCUUUUCAUUCCUAGCUUCUCAAUCUGAAGCAAGAAAAGGUGUAGAAAGAAAGCAAUCUCGGUUCGUUCUCUCGAACAGUUUGCUUAAGAACUGCAACCUUGGAGUCUGAUUAGUGCUGUUGUCGAAGUUUGGCUCCAACCACUAUUUGCAUAAGGGCAGUGUGGAUAUUUAUGGCUGGCUUUGCAGGUAAUUAGCUAUUAACAGCAUCAGCUAUUUUAGCUCGUACCUUCUGCUGGAGGGCACUGGGCAGCACAGAUUUCUUCUUUCUCCUUAAAUUUUCAAGACAGCUGACACUGUUUCUUCUCUGACGUAAUUUGAGAAUCCAUCUUAGAAUCAAUAUAGAAAUCUGUAGCAUCGGAUUUGCUAACACGAUAUUCUUUGCUGGAGAGAGUAUUUUUAGCCAAGGACUACAUUUAAGAAAUACCGAUCAUUGUUCUAGCGAUGCCAUGGUAAAUACAAAAUCUAGGAGUGGUCUCUAGUCUGACAGGAGCUAUGCAACUUGAAAGCAAUAACUAACCUGAAGUUACUCUUUGAUGCCAGUGGUGAUCUGAAAACUCUUGCACGCACAGGCAUAUCUAUAAUCCACAUAUUGAUUGCAUCUUGAUUCUUCACUUAUGAUGAUCUCUUGAUUCUUCACUUCUGAUGAUCAACAUGUCCAUGUGGACAUUGUUCUGUGCACUACUCAAAACCAGAGUGCUGCUGGUCUGGCUGGAACCCAGAGGCGUCCAUCUCCAGGAGGGCCGCAGAGGAGAGGCAAUCGAAGUUCGAGACCGAGGCCGCCUCCAAACUCACCGAGCUUGUGGUACUUCCGGUGGGCGAACUCAUGGAUGCUAUUGCCAUCAUCGUGCUCGUCCCUUUCGUCCUCUCAAAGGUACAACAAAAAUUUCACUUUCGUCCUCUCAAAGGUACAAUAAAAAUAAAACAAAUGCACCUGCUGGUAUAAAGUGUUCUCUGAAGUCAAAUAAAUUACCUGAGCUUUCCAAGUAUCAUAUGAAUAUAAAACAAAAUGCAACUGCAAGUAUGAUUCAUGUUAAAUAUGAGGUUCUUUGUGUGCAAAUCAGAUAAACUAUUGUAGUAUGUAAGAAUAACGGAAAUAGAAAAUAAUACAUGUCUAGACUGGUCAUUCGAGUAAUGCCUGACGCUAGAACAUAGGUAAAGAUGUAGUAUUUUUUAGUAUUUUCAUAUUUGGCACCUAAAUAGUAUGAGUGACUGAUUAUAAUUAGACAGUGUAGAAACUAUUAGUCAGCGAACAUAUGUACAUAAGAAAUAGCAAAUUUGUUUGAAAGCAGAGUCUGUAAUUAAGAGAACAAAGUUCGAUGUGCAAACUGUUGUCUUAUCUACAUGAUAAAUUGUUUACUCAAGAAAGUCAUAACCAGUCAAUCACAUUGCAGAUGGACAAAUAGCUUUAUUUCUUAUCGUUGUGCAUACUUUCAUCUAUACCCAAAACAAACUCAAUCAAAAUGGAACCAAAUGAACUCAGUACACACUCAGUUAUGGGCACUGAGUUUAAAUUGCAGGGCAGACAACUUAACUCAAGAUAGACAAUUUGAGAGACUACAAACCCUACUGAAUUAUGCAGUCAGCCCUCCAACAAUUCUACUUCUCCAUUGCCAAUCCAUUCUUUAAGCGAAAUAGCUAAGAAUUGUUUUACAGGAACAUGCAUAGAUAAUCCUGUUUAAGGUGGAACAGGAAUGGUGUGAUUUAACAACUCGAACCGUACCUGAACAUUCAUAUUUUGUUCAAUGAACUCACAUGCAUGCAGGAGGGAUACAAAGUAGGUAUCAGGCUUAGGGUGCAAGAUUACUUCUGAAGAGAACUUACGAAUAGCCACCAUGUAAACCAAAUUCGGCGAAAUAUAGUUAUCAUCGGGAUGCCUUGCCUGACUCAUACAUGUAAAAGAUACACUCUCAUAUCUAUAUCUUCUAGCUAUUCCAUGGAGAUACGCAGCCUCAUUUUAUUGCUUCUUAUUUGUUCUCAGAAAAAUAGGGUAAGAAAAGAACUUAAUUUGACCAAAAGCUAAUAACAUACCAACGUACCCAGUAGCAGUUUGCAAAGAAAACAAAAUCCAACUAAAUAAUAUAUCCUUGCUACCGACAUAACUGAUUCUCAACAACAGUGACAUCAUUUCGUAAGGAAUAUUUGAAGGCAAGGGUUUACCUUAGACAGAGGACUGAACCUUUUCGUUUCUUAGUUUGCUGGAACCUUUUUCCUCCAAUCAACCUUUGAUGGCAUGAAAAGCAAAUAAAGCCAAGCGUUAGUCAGUCUUUCGUGCUCCAACAACCGGAUAGUGUAAACAACCGGAUAGUGUAAAAUCCAAGCUCCAGCUCACAUUUGAGAACAAAAAUAGCAUUGUCAGCCAGGUUACCUCCGCACGGUAAUGAUGUGGUAUUAAAAACAAAAUGUAAGCACGAAUAGGAUGUAAUCACAUCCGAUUAAAUUGAUGUGGUAUUAAAAACCAAAUGUAAGCAAGAAUAGGAUGUAAUCACAUCAGAUUAAAUUGCGUACGCAAAGUAGAAAAUAAAUUGACCAGGAUUACUCUUUCCAGUACUCAAUGCCUCAAACCGAGGGGGUGAGAGAGACGAUAUUUCAAAAAAAAAACCUAACACCUGCGGCAAGAUAAAAGUUAUCGUCAUAUAACUUCGGAAAAUACAGUAGAUGAAAUGUAAUAUGUACAGUAGAAACUUAUAUAUAGUAAAAAAAAUGAGAGCAUGAGAUUUAGGUCCCAGUUCACACUAUUUCACAGUUGAAAUCAUGUAUAUGUUUAGCCUACAUAUUAAUAGAAAAACAGACUGAUGGAAGGGGGUUUUCUUAUGUCAAUUUGCAUUCAUAGAAGGUGGCUCGUCCACUUUAUCAGUGUGACUAAUUUGAUCUUAAAUCAGUUCAGUUUUCAUGGACCAAAUGGGAAAUCUGAAAAUAUACUGAUUUGGUUCUUUUACGCACAGCAACAAAUAUCUGUUAGGCACCAAAAUCACAACCAGAGCACCUAGUAUGCUUGGACCUUUUGUGCCAAUCACUCAGGACCAACUAUAAUCCCUUCGAUCUACGGAACAAUGGGGACUUCAAACGAUGUAGAAAUCAUUGGGGAAAAGAGAUCGACCUGCAGUUGGUGGUCUGUUUUGCCGAAUCACACGAGCUGGCCGUCGGGGAGGGUGCUUCACAGGACUAUCAGAGCCGUGGUGCUCUAGGCUGGGGUGGAGAAGAAGGCCGACACGCACCCGCCGCUUCCCUCCUCCCGCUUCCUGUCCGCCCCCCAUCACUACACGAUGGACCAAGCAUGGAGGCUAUAAAACUGCCGGCGUAAGCAGCUUAUGGAGGCAAGUAGUCUGUGCCGGCAGACAUAUCUGCCCUCUAUAAUGCUGACGGCAAAGACAUGUGCCGGCAGACAAUUCUGUACCGGCAGGCUAGCUGCCCGAGGAUAAUUCUUUGCCGGCACGUACCCUACGCCGGCAGCUAUGCUGCCCGUACAUUUCUACCGGCAGUUUGUCUGCCACAAAUAUUUCUACCGGCAGUUUUAUUGCCUGAAACAUCUUACCGGCAGUUUUUCCGCCACAAAUAUCUCUACCGGCAGUUAGAUUGCCUGAAACAUCCUACCGGCAGACAAAUCGCCACAAUUUCUACAUGCUGGCCAUUCUAGGCCCACUGCCAAUAUCAAUUCACAUAUGUGGUCAUCUAAGCCCAUUGGCAAAAUCAAACAUGUCGCAUACAGAUGAAUUCAGAAACAACAUCAGGUCAUCAAACAUGUCGCAUACACAUGAAUUCAGAAUCAAAAUCAGGUCAUCAAACUGACAUACACAUGAAUUCAGAAAUAAUAUCAGGUCAUUCAGAAUAGUCUGAUCACAUAGAUAGAUUCAUAGUCUGAUCAUACAUAUAGAGAUUCGAAGUCUGACUCGACAUUGCAUACAUAUGCCAGUUAUAUUGCGACUAAUACAUCAGCCCACUAGCAGUGCAACAUUCAUAAUUAUUUCAAGACACUUCAGGUGGAAAACAAAAAGAGAUCUCAUCCAACCACCAGUGUCAUCACGGCGCGCCUUGCAUGGUACGAACUAGUCUGCAUUCCUGUUGACCUGAAAUAAAUGAGAAGAUCAAUAAAAUGUGACUAGUCUGAAAUACUUGCAAUUUGUCAUAGUAAUUCACAUAAUGUCAUAAACAAAACAGUCAAUAGCUGAUCAACAACUUGCCAUGUCCGAAACUCACAGUUAGCUGAAUAUGCAUUUUACCAACUAGUCAUGAUGCGUCCAAGCUCACUGUUUGCACAUACAUAAAAUUGAGCAAAGAAACAUUGAAGAAAGCUCACUGUCAAAGCUCCUGUUUUCUUCUUAUAGUCUUGCAUGUGCAUCAGGUUAUAUUGAGAAAAGUUCAUCACAGACAAGAAAAUUGAACUAGCAACGUUGCAAGCUUGUUUGUGCAUCAGGGAAUUUCUCCCUCCAGCUCCACUGAUUCAGGAUUGAACUAGCAACGUUGCACAUGCAUGUGGUUCAGGAUCACAGACGAACAAGAAAAAUUUAGUGCUACUUGUGAGCUUAGUAAUGCAAGUACAUCAGGUUAUAUUGAGAAAAGUGCAUCACAGAAACACAGAAACAAAUUGAACUAGCAAUGUUGCACACAGGGGCGGAGCUCAAUGAGGCUACCCUGAUGCACAGGCAUACGGUAAGAAAAAAAAUUACUAGCACUUGGCGUCAAAAAGAGAGUCGUGCAUCAGGUUUGGCCCAGACUUGUGCAUCAGGGUCUAGACGAUGGCUCGAGCGAACAGCCUCAUCUUGCAGUCACACGCCCGGGCAUGUACUCACGCGGCAUGGCACAAAGCGGUGAAUCAGAGUAUAUUUGUUGAAACUACAUGCCCACGAUUCUCGAGAAAAAAGGCACCAACCGCGCGCACAUCCACACACGGAUCAAUAGUUCAACACCGAUGUCUUUGUUGUGCUGUGGCUCGGCUCGAUCGAUCAAACAAAAACGAAAAAGAAACUAUCUCAACAUCCAAAGAUUAAUCUGUAACUAGACUCCAGAUUAAUCUGGUUUCCUAGCAACACAGGUGCCUGUGAUAAAAUGGUUGCAGUAGUGGAGCUGCUCCUAAACUUAAUUCAACGUGAUAAUGGUAUGCACAACAUGUUGUGCCGAACAAAGAAGCAAAAAGGCCAUGCCAUCUUCUUUACUCGCUACACUCUACAGCAGCAGCACCUCGAUAACUAGGAGAUUUGGAGGCUAUGAUAGUUUCGACUCUCGACUGUCAGUAGCCACUAGCCACACUGAGCCAGCCGCACGGAACCCGCAAGCUGAAACCUGAGCCACAGAACACGGGAUAGGGGAUACGGGACCAAAACCGGGGUGGGGGGGCACCGACCUGCACGGGCUGCUUCUCCGCCGGCUUGGCGGCGCCGUUGUCUUUGUUGUGCACCUGUGUUUUAGCAACAUCCAAAGAUUUUAUUCUACUCCCUUCAUCCACUAAAAUAUCUUAACUUUAUUAAAAUUCGGAUGUAUCUACCUACCAGAUAUACAUUAAAAUUUGUAAGAAGCUGAGGCAUUUUUUGUGUGGUCAAUUUUGCUUUACAAUUGUAUUCUACAUUAAACUGGUGCAUCAGGGUCGGUUGAGAGCCAGCUCCGCCCCUGGUUGCACAUGCAUGUGGUUCAGGAUUUUACCGAUCAGACCACUAAUUCAUCAGUUCACUGUCAGGUUUUUUAAACAUAAAAGUAAUUAUAACCUAUAUAAAAGUUGGACAAUUUAGCACUCCCUAAUUGAUUGGGGCACUGUAGAUGAAGAAUUUUGGAUGGUUUAGGUUCCUUUUCCCAGCGACACGUGCACAGUUAUUUUUCUUUGCCUUUGGUGACUUUUUUCUUCCUUUUUUCUUGGAGCGAUCGGGCAACCGGCUACCGGCAGGGGCCAGUUCGCGGCGUUUAAUAUUGACAGUUUCCAUUCUAUCGGUAAAUUUCCUUUUUUUUAGUUAGCUUUACCCAGUCCACACCGGUUAAUGGGGUGAGUUUGUGCCGUCAAAGCGGUGCGACAGAUCGUCUCCCGAACCAUCUCCUAAUAUCCAGGCAUAUCUCCCCUAUCUCUUCCACUAGCUUCCACAUGUAUGCCCAUACCUGCCCAAUCUUUAUGCGUGGGGCGGAGCUGCUCUAAAAUCUCCAGUUUGCCGUCGCAGUCGACCUCUCCCCAGCCCCGGCGGGCGGCGGCCGCCCCUUCCUCUUCCUAUUUCUAUUUACAGCGUGGGCGUCCACCUCCCCUUCCUCUUCCUAUUUCUUUGUUGUCGUGGCCUACCCUUCCGAUGACACGGGCUUAUCUUCCCGGCCGGUGCGGUCGUCAGGCUGCGAGGUUAUGAGGAGUGUCUUGGCGGUGGUCGCGCCUUCCCCGUCGUCCUGGCCGGCGUAUGUAUUGGUGGAGGCGCUUCCGUCGUCUCCCCUCCAUCGUGGCGUCCCAGCCCCAUCAACGGCAACUUCCUUCGCGCGGACCGCCGGGUUCUGGGCACUUCUUCUCUAGCAGCCUUAUCCCGACGGCGGUGGUCAUGGCAUGCUCGCACUCCAGGGCACGCGUGCCGGUCUGGAUCUUCCUCCCCUGCUGCGGCGCCACGGGGAGACCAAGUCCUCUGUCCACCGCCACCAGAUCGGCGUACAGGUUCUGUUUUUUCCCAAAUUGAUGUGCUGCUAGGUUAUUUAGCCGAUGAAAGGAAACACAUUAGAUUUCAUUCUGCGUGAUUGCUGCAGAAGCCAUGUCAAUUUCCAUUCUAGCCAUCAUUUUCUGAGAUGGAUGCAGGUAAUCAUUCUUUCAGAUAUGAGAUUUUCCUAACGUCCUGUGUGACUCAAGUGAUUCUCGUGUGCCACGGUAAUUACUGGCAAGUGGAGUCAAAUAGUACAUAUUAUUUUCCAGUUACUGUCUGCAAAACAUACUCUACAUUUUGCUUACUUACCAUGCCUUGCCCUAUGUUUCCAUUUUCCAAGAACAUGACUUGACAAAAUGACCAGGGUGCAUUCAAACUUAUCUGAUUUCCAUUGAGUAGUCAAAAUCUUCUUGCUUCAUUUUCUUUCCAAGGAAGCUGGAUAGAGAACUCCACCUAUUAUUUAUCAUCUGGCGUAUUUAUUCCCCCGGAAGAGAAAAGCCUACAUGCUCAAUCACAUUCGGCAUUACAACAAUAUUUUAGUGUAUUAUUUUUGGCUUGCAAGUGACAUAUAUAUAUAUUUCAUUGCAAACCUUGAUCCAUUUACUACUGAACAUUGUUGUUAACUAACCAAUCCACAAAUGCUACAGGUAUUCCCUCCCUUUUGGGGGCAUAUAUUUGCAUAUUUUGAUCAGUUACAUAAGAGACUGUUGCUUCUCUUCGUGGUUGCAUUUCUCCUCGGUUAUUACAAUUACUGGAUUGAACAACAAUGACUGUUGUAUAUCUAGGGAUUUUAUUUUUGAUGAGUUACUGCACACCUGUGUUCCCCUUUAUACCUUCCUAUUAUUUAUUUGCAAGUUUCACAAAGCAACCGAGGAGAUCGUUCUUGGCAAUUCACAAUAGAGAGAAACUAUAAAUUGUUAAAUAUUAUUGAAAAGAAAUUCGCAAGAGAUUUAACUACAUUAUCAAGUCCAUUUAAUUGCUUCAGAAGACAAGUGAAAAUUGCUUUACAAGUUUGUAAACAGUUAAGCUAUAACAUCAGUAAAUGAUUUUUUUUUUUGUGUCGCCUCUGAUCUUACCUUAAGGGCAUUAUAUACCUGUAGCGUACAUCCAGGAAACUAUUAUGUGUAUGGAAAUGGAUCAUUUUAGUUAGUGCUGAUCUGUAGCCUCUGAUUUUAAACUGGCCUAAUCUAACUUACUGGUUAGGAAGUAAAACAUAGACAAAAGGUAGUAACAUGGAUGAGCAAGUAAGGUCGUGUCAGGGAUGAUACUGAUAUCGGAUUCAGUGGCGAGGGGAAAGACAAUGGUAGUAAUUUUAAUUAUUUUUGCACACAGAUAAUUACGAAAUAUAAUAUAUCACUACUGUUUCAUUCUAAUGAAAGCUGACAUACACCACUUGUGCAUUAUGUUUCUCAUGAUUAACCCAUUUCUGCCUCUUUCGCUUAGUGAUAAGAAUUUCAAGCUAUAAACCAUGUACUUUCAUACCAUUCCUGCAGCUUCCAAGUGUAUCACUUACUACCACAGCAUGUUUGCCAUACUUGCACGCAUUGCCUCUUAUCUAGGCUUAUGACACUUCCUUUUCAUUUUAUGGCGAGUGGGUUAGUUGACUCAAGUUAAUUUUUCCUGCUCUGGCCUUGGUGACAUACUGACAUAUAAAAAAGCCUUGGCAUGCAGGUUAGUUGAUUCAUGUGAUUUCUCUACGUAUGACUUCUACAUAUGUUCUUGAUUUACCUCGCUAUAUAUUUUUUCAUCCAUUGAUUAGAAGUUUAUCCUUCAUGCAAAUAUUUUUUUUUUCAUUUGGGACUUAUAGGUUCUCUCUUAUCACAGGUUAUCAGCACCCCACCAUAGUUCGGAGAAAGCUGAAUUUAUUUAAAUUGAUCGGGAAUGGCCAUAUCAUUUACUUUGUUUUCCUUAUCAGUUAUCACAUAUUGAACAGGGUUGCAUGUAUAAGCAUGAGAUAUGCCCUACAGUUGAAAGCCUGAGGUUGAGCUCAUAUUACCAACUGAUCUUCUUCACCUUGCAGUUGUAAGACUAUAAUAAUCCAUAGCUUCAGUAAGUUUCAGAUCGGUAAUUAAGCAAUUCUGGUCCGUAAGUGUUCUUCAUAUUACUAAUGAAUCGCGAACUAGGUUACCGGAUUUUGCUAUGUGGCUGCCUUCCUGCCACAGUUUUCCUUUCUAUUUUGCGAAGUGUUGAUGACCUAUUUGGCAUCCUAUAAACAAAUAGUUUCAUAUGUACAUAUAACUGUAUGGAGAUUGAGAACUCAAGUAAUCUUACUGUUCAAUGUGUUUUUUUUUUCCUUCCUGGGGAGAUAGAUACCUUUUUAUGCCGAACUCCUGAUUGAAUUGUGUUCGACGAUGCAAGAUGGCCACCUCUCACCACGUGCGUCCGGCGGCAGCAGCCAGUAUUUGUUCAAGUAUUUGUUCAAGCCUGACACAUCUUGGAGCUAUGGACUCAACAUGGAUCGACCUGGGCAGUAGUAUAUUUCAGAUCAGGUUUGGGAGCUUCUCCAAGACUUCCGAUUCGUACAUAUGGACUUCUGCGGUGCAUAAUAAUGUUUCGUGGAGACUGUUGUUGCUACCUGUUAUAAAAUGGUUGUACAAAAUUCGUUGAGCCGCAACAUACUUCGUUCAGCCAAAUUUUUCGUUGUCGAGAAGCCAAAGCACCAGAUCUGCUGCGACGAGCGUGCAGACGCCGACACGACUUCUUUGACGACCAGCUGAAGCCUCAAACCCCCUCCGACCAUCUUGCGGCAGCAGAAGACAGAGACAGUAGAGGCAUGGCGCAGAUUUUUUUCAUUCUCAUCGCAAGAGUCUCAAGCACCAGGUUCCUGCGCUGAGCCCGCAAGUUUUGCCUUUGAUCUCAACCUCCCCGCGGAGGCCCCUGCACCAGGCAAGAACAUCAUCUUCGAUAGCUGGCCGAGGCUCCAGCUUGCUUCUGCCUCGCCUGUGCUUAGUAAACCCAUGAAAACCGUCUGGCUCUGCUAGCAAAAAGAUGAAUCUGUGGGGCCUAGCCUUCCCCACGAAGAACAUGUACUGGCAAUGGCAGACCAGUAGAAAGAUGUAUCGGCGUCGGUUGGUCUCCAGUGUGUAAUGCAUUCUAAAUAUGCAGUAGCCCUGCAACAUCCUCUGUUAUCCCUUAUAUUGUCUACUUAAGUUAAUUUCUAAUAAACAUCCAAGUCGAUAGCACCCUGUGUGAGAGAA